CCUACGGGAGGCAGCAGUGAGGAAUAUUGGUCAAUGGACGAGAGUCUGAACCAGCCAAGUAGCGUGAAGGAUGACUGCCCUAUGGGUUGUAAACUUCUUUUAUCUGGGAAUAAAACGUUCCACGUGUGGGAUUUUGUAUGUACCAUAUGAAUAAGGAUCGGCUAACUCCGUGCCAGCAGCCGCGGUAAUACGGAGGAUCCGAGCGUUAUCCGGAUUUAUUGGGUUUAAAGGGAGCGUAGGUGGAUUGUUAAGUCAGUUGUGAAAGUUUGGGGCUCAACCGUAGAAUUGCAGUUGAAACUGGCAGUCUUGAGUACAGUAGAGGUGGGCGGAAUUCGUGGUGUAGCGGUGAAAUGCUUAGAUAUCACGAAGAACUCCGAUUGCGAAGGCAGUUCACUGGACUGCAACUGACGCUGAGGCUCGAAAGUGUGGGUAUCAAACAGGAUUAGAUACCCUUGUAGUC
rnacentral:rRNA from 1 species